rnacentral:rRNA from 1 species
UACGUAGGUGGCAAGCGUUGUCCGGAUUUAUUGGGCGUAAAGCGCGCGCAGGCGGUCCUUUAAGUCUGAUGUGAAAUCUCGCGGCUCAACCGCGAGCGGUCAUUGGAAACUGGGGGACUUGAGUGCAGAAGAGAAGAGCGGAAUUCCACGUGUAGCGGUGAAAUGCGUAGAGAUGUGGAGGAACACCAGUGGCGAAGGCGGCUCUUUGGUCUGUAACUGACGCUGAGGCGCGAAAGCGUGGGGAGCAAACAGG